rnacentral:misc_RNA from 1 species
GUGCUGUACAUUCACUCUGGCGACAUCAGUCGCUGCAGUAUUACUUCUCCCCAUCUCUAUCAUCAGUAAUGAAAUCCUCCUCAUGUAUCCAAGGAGCUACUACGUCCAGUGGCUUAACUCAUCGCUCAUUCAUGGGUUGUGGAACUUUGUGUUCAUCUUUUCUAACUGUGCCAUAUUUGUCCUCAUGCCUUUUGCUUACUUCUUACUGGAGUCUGAGGGGUUUGCUGGGUCUAAAAAAGGUUUAAUGGCCAGAGUCUAUGAGACUGCAGUGGUACUGUGUUUGCUGGGAGUUAUGGCCUUUGGCUUGGUGUUUGUUAUCACAGCAGUUGUGGAUGAGGAUAAAUCAAGCAGACAGACACUAUGGGACCUGUGGGACUACUACCUUCCUUUCCUGUAUUCUUGUAUUUCACUGCUGGGUUGCUUGGCUUUGCUAAUUUGCACUCCAGUGGGGUUUGCCCGCCUGUUUACAGUGAUGGGCCAGCUUGUUGUUAAACCACAGUUCCUGAGAGAUAUAGCAGAGGAGCUGUACACCACACAACUUGAAGAGGAUGAUCUCAAGAGAAAGAUCAAGCAGCGUGUAACUACCACCAGCAAUGGCAGAACCAUUGCCAAUGGACACAAUGGAAGCUGCAAUGGCACAUCAGAGUUGAGAAAAAGAUUAGAAGAUGUUCAGGAGGAGAAGCAACAGUUGGAAAAGAGACAACAGAUAUCAUCCUUGAGGAGAAAUGUGGGCUAUCCAUUGAUGAUGCUUCUGUUGUUAGCCUUAACUGCCUUAUCAGUAUUAUGGGUGGCUCUGAACACAUUGCUGUUGGUGUUUGGGGAUAAAAAGUUACCUGUGGGAGGCAAGGAUAUAGUCCUUGGUUUGUCUUCACUGUCUGCCCUGGGACAAGUUGGUGCUCUGCUGGAGAUAGCUCUCAUUUUAUAUUUCAUGUUAGCCUCAGUGGUUGGAUUCUACAGCCUACGAUUCUUCCGCCGCCUGCAACCCAAGCCUUCUGACACCACACUUACCCAGAUCAUCGGCAACUGUGUAGUCAUACUGGUGCUCAGCUCAGCUCUUCCUGUGCUAUCCCGGAUACUGGGUAUAACAAACUUUGAUCUUCUCGGAGAGUUUGGGCGUCUGGAGUGGCUGGGAAGUUUUUACCUAAUCCUCACCUACAACCUGGUGUUUGUCUCCUGCACAGCUCUCUGUCUCUUCACCAAGUUCACUGCCACCAUACGCAAGGAAAUUGUCAACCGUCUGUGGACAGCACUGCGCCGUGUUAAGACAAGAUCCUGGUCUACCAGUCAGACAAGUGUGUCUACUCCUACAGUGGGAAAGGAAGAGUAAAAGCUUAGACAUGGUGGGAACAGUACAUAAUUGGUAUGGGGACAAAGAAAAGAUGGUAUGGGGAAAAGAAAAGACAUGUUGGUUAUCAUAAAGGCGUAUGUUAACCUGGAAGGUUGAAAGGCUUUGGUGAAGCAUGGGCCUUUGACUUAAAGAAACCUCAUGUAUUGCUUUUAAGGCUGAGCUAUAUUAGCUUGCAUUAGAGUGUUCAAAUGAGACAGUAUUUUGCUUGGUUAUGUCAGUGCAAACUCUAAAUGCCAAUGAGCAACCUGAAUUGCAGCACCAGCUUUUAUACAUGUCAGGAGGGCCAAGGUACAUCGUCACCUGGUAUUAGCUAUCAGUGGACCAAGCUACUUUGUCCAAGGUAACCGUCCGGGACCAGCAAGGACAUAAAAUACAGCCAACACAAUCAGCAUUAGAAUUGACUCACAUGCUGCUGUUGUGAAGCACACUGAGAGAGGCAGAAUCAAGAGUUCGUGUUCGGUCUCUCUUGUAUCAGCUACCUUUGGAAGUCCACAGUUUUUAUGUAGAGUGGACACUAGUCCUUAAUCACACACCUGGCCAGUUGCAUGAAAAAGUUGUCUUUGUGAUGGAAAAGAUGUGAUCAAAUGAAAAUUGACUGAACAAGUUAAAAAUUCUGGUCCAAGUUGUGUAAUAGUCAAUAGCAACAGCUAAUGUUGUGUAACAUACACGUUUUUAUUUGAUUUAUGUGAAUACCAGAGGUUUCACUUGUACAUAGUGUUUUUAUACCAAAUGAACAAAUUGAUACAAACCCUUUUAAUGGUGAUUUUAUUGUAAUAACUGAUGCUUUUCAUUCAAGUUUUCUAUCUCUGUACAGUUAGGUGGUAUAUGAACAAAGCUGAGUGGCAGGAAGAAUGUUAGAAUGGUGAAUGGUUAACUAGGGCCCAAAAGAAAUAUUUUACAGAAGGCUAGCACUUGAAAAAUAUGAUUGUUGAAUGCAUUUUAUUGCUUAUGUGUCAUUUAAAUACAAGAAAGCAAGGCAGUGUUUUUUAAUGAUAUAGAAAACCUGGAUUUUUUGUCAACUAAUCUUGUUGUUAUUAAAAUUAAGCUUAAAAUAAAGCAUUUGGUUUUUGAGGCAAAAUUUAAGCCAUUGCCAUGUAAAACAAUCCAGCAAGUGGAAGAUGUAUGGAGAGGAAGCAGUCGGUAUAGUUUAUUGUAGUAGUAGAGGCACUAAUAUAUGACGGAAUUCAAAUGUUGAUGUGAUCGUGACUUGUAUUUCUCUUGUAAAAUAUCCUCAGGUUUUAUUGUUGAAUAUUUAAGGGACAGAUCCUAGCAAUGCAGAUCAAUGCAAAUAUAGUAUAUAUGCUUAUAGACAAGGAUGGAAAGUAUUCAUUAUAGCAGCAUUAGCUUUUAAUUGGCUGUAGGAACAUUUAUUGAGUUGGUAUAUAUCUUGCCAUAUAUCCUUGCUGUAAGAUUGGAUGCAGUGAUCAAUACGUGUACCCAUGCUGUAAGAUCAGCAAAAAUGCUUUAAAUGUUAAUAUCCUUGCUGUAGCAUUAAGUGAAGCGCAAUUUAUAUCCUUGCUGUAGGAUUAGGUACAGUGCUAAAUUUAUAUAUCCUUGCAGUAGGAUUAGGUGCAGUGCUUAAUAUUUAUAUCCCUUUGGAAGUAUUAGGAGCAGUACUAAACUUCCUUGCAGUAGGAUAAGGCUUAGCACAGAAUGCAUAUAUCCUUGCCAUAAGUUAAGCAGUGAAUUUAUGUACAGAACAGCAUUCGAGAGAAAUCCUUCCCAUUAAAACACACCUAUUUACAACAGUCAUGUAAAUAAUUAAACACUAUAAAUUUAAUUAUCUUAGCAGUGAUACAAAACACAACCAACAGAAACAGCAUUAAAAUUAACACACUACCAACCACACACCACUGAAAGCUUACAUGAAUUGCUCACUAAGGCUUUGUUUACAUCAGGACUAUUCUCAACUGGAAAGGGUCUUGUUAGAAGAUGUUUAACAACACAGAGCUGCUUGCUAGAAGCCACUGACCACUCAUAUCAGGCAUUACAAUACAUUUGAUUUAAUAACUUCACUGUGUGUUUGAAAUAUCCAUAAAACAAAAUCUAUUAAAGGAGGGUAAGUUUUUUGAAGUUGGCUUUAGGUAAAAGAUUUUGGGGGGGAGCUGGGGAUGGGGUGGUGGUGUGGGGUCUUAAACAGUCCUGUUAAAAAAAAAUUAAGACAAGUUAAGCAGUUCAAGACCAAAGAUAUAUUGCAUAACUUACAAAACAUCGAAAAAUUUACUAACAGACCCACUUUAUUAACCUGCAUGGUAACAUUUUACUACUUUAACCAAAGAAGCUCUCCGUGGACUGAUUUUAAGUUUUAUACAUGGAUUAUCAGUGCAUUUACUUCUUAAUUAAGCAAUUUAAUCGCAGUGCUAGUCCUUGUUCAGUAAUGUUCAACAGCCAAGACAAUCAUAUUGUGCUAGCACCAAAGCUGUUCAGCAGAAUCAAAAAUGUUAUAACUUAUGGGAGGCAGUGUAGGAAGACAACAGUUAUACAAUAUCUCAGUUGAUGAAAAUACUUUGUGUAUUUUGGUACUAAGCAUAAUGAUCAGACUGUCACUAAUGAAGCACAGCAUAGUAUGGUUCUCCUCACCAUUGGCAGUGGGUAGACAUUUGAAGUGCAGAUUUAAAAAUAAAACUGUUUAUACAGAAUCGGUGUCAAUUGAUGUCCAAUUAUUUUCGUUAUAACACAUGCCAGUAUGGUGAGUAUCGUGUGGGGUGUGUUGGAAAGUAUUUAACUAUAUUUAUAGUGUGUGGCAAUCCCAAGUUCUACCCCAGUCUGGUGCAGUUAUGGGUAACCCCCAUUUAAUGUGAAGUGUAUCAUUUUAGAUAUAACAAGAAUUAGAGUGGAUUUCUGGAAAUAAUGAGAUUAAGGACUACUUCAAUGUAAUUGUUGGCACUGUUGCCUUUGUUAUGAAUGCUUCCUAUGCUCAAAUAUUCACGGGGAGCCAUUGUGUAAAAUGUUGUAUAAGAAAAGUGGCUGCAGAGGAUGGGGGUUCUUUUAUUCAGAAUAUUUUGCAUUGAUCAUAAGGACAUAGGGGAUGAUUGUUGCCCCGUUAAAUAAUAUUAGAAUUUUUAAGAAGCAUAUUUGUCCAGCUCAAGGCUUUAGAGUGUAGUAGAAGACACAACUCCUUGAAAGUUGUAGAAUGUUUCUUAUGGAAGUUGUUAUUUAUUUACUUAUUUUUUUUAAUGCAUAACCUUAUUAUUUUAUAGUCAUGAAGUUUCUUUACAAUGAUAAAAGAACAAACUUUUUAAUUUUUUUAUGUAACAUUCUUAUAACCAACUGCGUUGAAUCAGUAGCAUAUUAAUCAUAUUAUAACAUUACUGUACAUUAAAAGAUUGUAUUUAUUAUGUCUACGUGACUUAGCAGUAGCAAUUUCAAUUCUUUAUGAAAUAUUUUAAACAAAGUAUUUUUGUAAAAUUGCAUUGAGACAGAUAUGGUUAGAUUUUGUAUAAAACAGCACAUAGGAAACAGUUUCUACCAAAAGAUUUUUAAUAAUAAUAAGGUAUGGAAACAUCACACAUACAAACACAGUUAAAAAAGCUAAUUUAAAUGUUUGCAGUGCGCCUCUCUUGUAUGUUGCUAACCAUGUCUGUUAGAAGUUUUUAACCCAAUCAUUGUGUUGUUAAUCAUUGUGUAGCUAUCAUAAUACUGAGGCAGUUUAACAUGUCAUUGUACUGUUACUGUUGCUAUCAGCAUGAAGUAUUGCAUCGGUGCCAAGGUGGAUAUAAAUUAUAUAAUAUACAUAUGAUACAUGAAUUAUUUGCUAGUUUGUAUGAAAGUGAAUAAAAUGUUGAAAAUAA